UAAAGCCUGCGGUAUUCGUGAUAUUAAAGAUGUUUCUGAACUAUUUAAAAAACGGAAGUCAAGCCAUUUGUGGCGUAUAAGCCGGACAGGAUCCGGAUCUACAAAACAGACAAGGUAGACGUCCACCUUGAAAAAGGUUCGAGUAAACAAUUAAUACACGGUACCGCGGGUUAAAA
rnacentral:other from 1 species